CCCGCGAGGUUCUUACCAGCAUGAGCGGCCAUUCCGAGGCUGAGAUGUAGUCGUGGGGUCCUUUCAUGCUCACGUCAACUGUCGACAAAAGCACACGCGAGCACGUGAGCGGGCCGUCACCGC